CACGCACACGCAAACACACACAAACUGAUAUCCACAUGAACCAUUGUGACAAAGAUAAUCCAGUGAAUUCCUCAAGGAGAUGAAAAGCUGCAGACCAUGAAGAAGCAAAAGACCUCUGUCACAGGAGACGGUGUGUAAUCUAACACGUGUGACAUACAUAGAUAAUCACGCUCGCCGGGCCUGAGCAGCACUUGACAGAUGGGGCAGAUUGGAGCCUGGCUGUCAUACAGUGACAUUUUCUUCUUACCUGGAAACAACAAAAGAAAAUUCGCCCAUCCCUGUGUCGCUUUGGUCCAGAUGAAGUGGGAAUCAAUAGAUGCAAGAUAGCGCACGGCUCCCAGUCACAGACAACAAUGGGCUGAGGCAAAAGGCCACCUCCAGAGAGGACGGGGAUUGUCAGCUCAAUACUCACUCUCAAUGGAAGCAAAGAUAAAAAACCAUUUGGGGUGCCCUCAUGGCUCAGUGGGCUAAGAGGCACACCAUGUACUCACAACACGGCUCCGAAUCCCAUUUAAUGACCUGCAUUGCGUGUCAUCCCUUCACUUUUAUCUCACCUAUCAUGGCAGUGUCUCAAGAAAUCGCUUCCCAAGUUAAAUUCUCCUAGCUGCAACCGCACAUGUUCAUGCAGGAAAUGCCAUUUAAUUUCUAUUAAUUCAUGCAUAAUAGAGAGCUACAUCCACCUUGAGCUUUUAUUUAUUAUUUUCUUUAUUUAUCUUUUAUAUCUUCUAUCACAGAUUGGAUUGUGUUGUAAAUUACAAAAGCAAUUAGCUAAUGAGGGCCGGGCAUGUAAAAUGGAUUUAAGUACAACAAUAAGAGUGAGGCGGAAAAACAGAGGGCUAGAUUUUACGAGUUGGCACAUAUACGGUAUUUAGAGCUCUCCGCAUACUGUGGCACACUAACAAAACACAAAAACACACACGCACUUUUCCCAAAUGGAAUUAGAAACAUGUUGAGGCUAUUUUUCUGCCCUUGAACAACUGUCGUCUUGUGUGUGCGUGAACAAACACCCAGUUGCAAUUCGGCCUCUUUGUUGUUCGAAUAAAUGAGUUUUCUGACAUGCAUCAAGUGUUUACGCCUGCUUAGCCCUCUUUUCUUGCCUCCCUCUCUGCUCCUCCCUCCCACUGCUUGCCAGGCCAGUUAGCUAUAACACCCGCCAACAUUGGUAAACAAGGAAAUCUCUCAGCUGCAGCCCAGCGCGUAACUGCAUUACAGAGCCCGAUAACCUCUUCAAAUAAUGUGCGAUAAGGGGAAUUUGAUUUGAUUCACAGAAAAGGGAAAGAAGGCCACUUCU